rnacentral:rRNA from 1 species
ACGCUGGCGGCAGGCUUACACAUGCAAGUCGAGCGGUAACAUUUCUAGCUUGCUAGAAGAUGACGAGCGGCGGACGGGUGAGUAACGCGUAGGAAUCUGCCUAGUAGUGGGGGACAACAUGUGGAAACGCAUGCUAAUACCGCAUACGCCCUACGGGGGAAAGGAGGGGAUCUUCGGACCUUUCGCUAUUAGAUGAGCCUGCGUGAGAUUAGCUAGUUGGUGGGGUAAAGGCCUACCAAGGCGACGAUCUCUAGCUGGUCUGAGAGGAUGAUCAGCCACACUGGGACUGAGACACGGCCCAGACUCCUACGGGAGGCAGCAGUGGGGAAUAUUGGACAAUGGGCGCAAGCCUGAUCCAGCCAUGCCGCGUGUGUGAAGAAGGCCUUAGGGUUGUAAAGCACUUUCAGGAGUGAGGAAGGGCGUGCAGUUAAUACCUGUAUGUCUUGACGUUAACUCCAGAAGAAGCACCGGCUAACUCUGUGCCAGCAGCCGCGGUAAUACAGAGGGUGCGAGCGUUAAUCGGAAUUACUGGGCGUAAAGCGCGCGUANGCGGUUUGUUAAGUCGGAUGUGAAAUCCCAGGGCUCA